rnacentral:rRNA from 1 species
GCCGCCUACACAUGCAAGUCGAACGCAGUAGCAAUACUGAGUGGCAGACGGGUGAGUAACAUGUGGGAAUCUGCCUUGUGGUUCAGGACAACAUUGGGAAACCGAUGCUAAUACUGGAUAAGCCCUUACGGGGAAAGUUUUAAUGCCAUAAGAUGAGCCCGCAUUUGAUUAGUUAGUUGGUGAGGUAAUGGCUCACCAAGACAAUGAUCAAUAGCUGAUCUGAGAGGAUGAUCAGCCACACUGGGACUGAGACACGGCCCAGACUCCUACGGGAGGCAGCAGUGGGGAAUCUUGCACAAUGGAGGAAACUCUGAUGCAGCGAUGCCGCGUGAGUGAAGAAGGCCUUUGGGUUGUAAAGCUCUUUUGUAGGGGAAGAUAAUGACUGUAUCCUAAGAAUAAGGUCCGGCUAACUUCGUGCCAGCAGCCGCGGUAAUACGAAGGGACCUAGCGUAGUUCGGAAUUACUGGGCGUAAAGCGCGCGUAGGCCGUUGAGUUAGUUAAUUGUGAAAUCCCAAAGCUUAACUUUGGAACUGCAAUUAAAACUGCUCGACUAGAGUUUGAUAGAGGAAAGCGGAAUACAUAGUGUAGAGGUGAAAUUCGUAGAUAUUAUGUAGAACACCAGUUGCGAAAGGCGGCUUUCUGGAUCAACACUGACGCUGAGGCGCGAAG